UGGGGAAUAUUGGACAAUGGGGGCAACCCUGAUCCAGCAAUGCCGCGUGAGUGAUGAAGGCCUUAGGGUUGUAAAGCUCUUUUACCCGGGCUAAUAAUGACAGUACCGGGAGAAUAAGCCCCGGCUAACUCCGUGCCAGCAGCCGCGGUAAUACGGAGGGGACUAGCGUUGUUCGGAAUUACUGGGCGUAAAGCGCACGUAGGCGGCUUUGUAAGUUAGAGGUGAAAGCCCGGGGCUCAACCCCGGAAUUGCCUUUAAGACUGCAUCGCUAGAAUUGUGGAGAGGUGAGUGGAAUUCCGAGUGUAGAGGUGAAAUUCGUAGAUAUUCGGAAGAACACCAGUGGCGAAGGCGACUCACCAGACACAUAUUGACGCUGAGGUGCGAAAGCGUGGGGAGCAAA
rnacentral:rRNA from 1 species